UACAGGGGGGGCAAGCGUUGUUCGGAAUUACUGGGCGUAAAGGGCGCGUAGGCGGCCAACUAAGUCACACGUGAAAUCCCCAGGCUUAACCUGGGAACUGCGUGUGAUACUGGAUGGCUUGAAUUCGGGAGAGGGAUGCAGAAUUCCAGGUGUAGCGGUGAAAUGCAUAGAUAUCUGGAGGAAUACCGGUGGCGAAGGCGGCAUCCUGGACCGACAUUGACGCUGAGGCGCGAAAGCUAGGGGAGCAAACGGG
rnacentral:rRNA from 1 species